CCACAAGAAUGUCACCUUGUGCUUUGCAACUAUGGAACUCCGACAAGAUUCAGAGACAGAUAGAAGAACCUGUGAAAAAAAGGACAUCACCUCUGGAUGAGGAGAAGAAAGGUUAUAAGGACAUGAAGAAAAAGAGGAACAAAACCAAAAUGUACACACAAUCAAGAGUUGUGCUGGACCCWAUUUCCUUUGCCUGUAAGACUGAGAGGUGUCAAGAUCAUGAUCCCGUAUGUCCAACCCCUCUCAUGAUGUAAGAUCCUUCUGUAGUGGUUAACAUGAAGAUUUUCACAGUUUGAAAGAGUGAUUAUUGAGGUCUCAGUCUCAUAAGCAGUCAGCAAGAGCCAAAACACAGUAAA